UUCCUACGGGGGGCAGCAGUGGGGAAUAUUGCACAAUGGGGGAAACCCUGAUGCAGCAACGCCGCGUGAGUGAAGAAGUAUUUCGGUAUGUAAAGCUCUAUCAGCAGGGAAGAAGAUGACGGUACCUGAAUAAGAAGCCCCGGCUAACUACGUGCCAGCAGCCGCGGUAAUACGUAGGUGGCAAGCGUUAUCCGGAUUUAUUGGGUGUAAAGGGCGUGUAGGCGGGAGCGCAAGUCAGAUGUGAAAACUCAGGGCUCAACCCUGAGCCUGCAUUUGAAACUGUGUUUCUUUGGUGCUGGAGAGGG
rnacentral:rRNA from 1 species